GAUGAACGCUGGCGGCGUGCCUAAUACAUGCAAGUCGAGCGAACGGACGAGAAGCUUGCUUCUCUGAUGUUAGCGGCGGACGGGUGAGUAACACGUGGAUAACCUACCUAUAAGACUGGGAUAACUUCGGGAAACCGGAGCUAAUACCGGAUAAUAUUUUGAACCGCAUGGUUCAAAAGUGAAAGACGGUCUUGCUGUCACUUAUAGAUGGAUCCGCGCUGCAUUAGCUAGUUGGUAAGGUAACGGCUUACCAAGGCAACGAUGCAUAGCCGACCUGAGAGGGUGAUCGGCCACACUGAAACUGAGACACGGUCCAGACUCCUACGGGAGGCAGCAGUAGGGAAUCUUCCGCAAUGGGCGAAAGCCUGACGGAGCAACGCCGCGUGAGUGAUGAAGGUCUUCGGAUCGUAAAACUCUGUUAUUAGGGAAGAACAUAUGUGUAAGUAACUGUGCACAUCUUGACGGUACCUAAUCAGAAAGCCACGGCUAACUACGUGCCAGCAGCCGCGGUAAUACGUAGGUGGCAAGCGUUAUCCGGAAUUAUUGGGCGUAAAGCGCGCGUAGGCGGUUUUUUAAGUCUGAUGUGAAAGCCCACGGCUCAACCGUGGAGGGUCAUUGGAAACUGGAAAACUUGAGUGCAGAAGAGGAAAGUGGAAUUCCAUGUGUAGCGGUGAAAUGCGCAGAGAUAUGGAGGAACACCAGUGGCGAAGGCGACUUUCUGGUCUGUAACUGACGCUGAUGUGCGAAAGCGUGGGGAUCAAACAGGAUUAGAUACCCUGGUAGUCCACGCCGUAAACGAUGAGUGCUAAGUGUUAGGGGGUUUCCGCCCCUUAGUGCUGCAGCUAACGCAUUAAGCACUCCGCCUGGGGAGUACGACCGCAAGGUUGAAACUCAAAGGAAUUGACGGGGACCCGCACAAGCGGUGGAGCAUGUGGUUUAAUUCGAAGCAACGCGAAGAACCUUACCAAAUCUUGACAUCCUUUGACAACUCUAGAGAUAGAGCUUUCCCCUUCGGGGGACAAAGUGACAGGUGGUGCAUGGUUGUCGUCAGCUCGUGUCGUGAGAUGUUGGGUUAAGUCCCGCAACGAGCGCAACCCUUAAGCUUAGUUGCCAUCAUUAAGUUGGGCACUCUAAGUUGACUGCCGGUGACAAACCGGAGGAAGGUGGGGAUGACGUCAAAUCAUCAUGCCCCUUAUGAUUUGGGCUACACACGUGCUACAAUGGACAAUACAAAGGGCAGCGAAACCGCGAGGUCAAGCAAAUCCCAUAAAGUUGUUCUCAGUUCGGAUUGUAGUCUGCAACUCGACUACAUGAAGCUGGAAUCGCUAGUAAUCGUAGAUCAGCAUGCUACGGUGAAUACGUUCCCGGGUCU
rnacentral:rRNA from 1 species